UGUGUCAUCUUUUCAUAUAACUGCGAAAUUAGUUGAACAGGAAGGAUAACUAGUUGGUCAUUACUGGUGGCCAGGAGGAUCUACCGGUUUUGCCGGGUCAGGUGAACGUGCAUGGUCUCAGCCCAGGGGUGGGAUUAUGUUAACAGCUGCCCGAGUGCUUCGAAAGAAGAGCUGACAUCUCAAAGGCGGUUAUUUCGUGAAUUCAACCAAAAUGCCAUUACCUAACUUACUGAACGUCAAAUUAUGCCAAAUGUACUAGUUAUAUAAGAGCCACAAGGUUAGAACCGACGGAGGAAACUUCCAAUUUAUUUUUUAUGUUUGUGAGAUUUCUGGUGGCCCGGAGGCCUUUCCAGGUUUACCAGGGCAGGUGGGCGAGCAAGGGCUCAGCCAGGAUGGGUGGGAGUUGCUAACAGCUACCCGAGCGCCUCCAAACGAGACCUAACAACUCAAGAGUAGUUGCUUCGCGAAUGAAUCUACUGCCGGAUCGGAAUCGCGACCCGCUAAAAAGAUCCGGCGAGAAACUCAGCGGGCUGAUGCUUAGUUCCACUGUACGUAGGCGAGAUCAGGAACACAGAUCGCAGGGUCCGUGUUGAGGGUCAUCUGAAACUUCUGCACGAGGGCCGAAGGUAUGACCUCUGCUUCGUCAUCCUCGAACGACUUCGGCUCCUCGCUCUCGCCGAGGACGAAGCGCUUGGAAGUCCUCCUCUUCAGCAUAUUCAAUUUAUUUCCAAAGUAAUCAACUAGCGCAGUCAAAUUUUUCAGCACCGCACCGAAAAUAUUCAUGAAACGUCACGACAUUAUAAAAGUAGCGUCAGCACGAAAACCAAAAAAAAAUAAAAAAGUGUUGGGAUUUUUAAAUUUCACUAAAAAAAAUCACAAUCGAUAAACCGUUUAAUUAUUUUAUCGAUCUUAUAUCGCUUUAUCGAUAACGCGCCCGCUCUUACAGGUCCUCUCACACCGACGCGCUGGACUGUACUGAAGUCUGAAGCGUCAUUUACUUCCAACGAUGUACAAAAUAUCAAAAUCGAAUCUAAACUCAAAUAAAAUUGACUUUAUGUAUUCGUUAA